rnacentral:lncRNA from 1 species
UUUGGAUUCUACCCACAAGAUUAGAUAGAUAUUAUACCUCAUGGAAGCUAGUCAUAUAAACAAUGUGUUUUCGAAUUCUCAUUAAGAAGUGAAUUUGAAGAUCAUAAUGUUUGUGUGAUUUCUUCUCCGGAUUUCAUUCAUUUAAUAUAGAGAUUGCCUUGGCCAUGAAGAUUUUUAUGAAACUUAAUUAUCCCCUGUGAAUGUAGAGAAGAAAAAUGACUACACCAAAAUCUACAACCUAAAUAAAUAAUUAAAAUAUACAUUUUUGAAUGAAAAUGAAACUUAAGAUCAAUACCAAGAUCAAGGUGAAUAUUGUAAUCAAAUUUUACAUAAAAAAUCGCACUAUAGAGAAUCAUGGGUACUUCAUUCUCUCUCCUCCCAUGAAUGGCCUACAGAUUUAUGAGAGUUGGUGAGAAGUUUUGCUCUCUGGCAUCAAACCACGAUCCAUUCUUGUUAGUUAUCAAUCUGUUGGUACCUGCAACACCUACAAACUCACAAAUAUAAGCCCCGUUGACCCAAAACAAAAAAAAAAAUCGAACAAUAGAGAAAUAAUAAAGAAGAAUAAUGCAAAAUUAAAUGCAAAGAUUGUCCGAAAGUAUAGUUUGAAACACCAUUUUAACUUUUAGUCUAGGAGCAGGAAAUCAAUAGCAGAUAUCUAAAUAUUGGAUCAAAAGUUUCUUUAUACCUCCAUAAAAGAUCCCCAACAAUGAAAUACAUAAUGUAUCUAAAUGUGAUGGCUCGAACCACAACCGCCUCUCCUUUCCUAAGCUCCUAUGUAUCUUCUUUUUUGCGUUUUGGUUUCUAAACAUGAUGAUUACUUUGGAAUUGAUACUUAUGGAAUACAAUAGGUCUGAAAGGAUAUAGGGGCGGCUGCCAAAACCAAAUCCUAAAUCAUAGUUGAGGAGGGAAUAUGUGACAACCCAAAUUUUAGUGCUAUUAUUAUAACCGCCAAUCUAUCCGUGAAUUUCUUGUUUAGUGCAUCUAAAGUAAAAUAAAUAAUUUUAUUUCAAUUAUGACAUGAUGUCAGAUGAUACCUUACUUCCAAAUAUGUAAACUGUCAACCGAAUCAAACCGCUUAAACAACAACGCUAAUUAAUGCAUUAGAAAAACUGAAAAUUUACAUUAAGCAGUUUUAAGCAAUACAAACAUUAAAAUAUUAUAGUACAUGUUUCCAUGUUUCCGAAAAUAUAAAGAAGGUCCAAAACGGAGUUCGUAUGCAAAAGAUACGACAGUUUUAAGAAAACAGACAGUAAAACGCUGUUUUUCUUUAAUCACGUAAAACUGAAUCAAUCCAUUGAGGCACUUACGCUUUGCCGACGGGAUUUCCGAGAGCGUUUUUGGACUCAGGUUAUAAUCUAUUAUUUAAUUCCACACUCGAAAUAAUUUUUAUGAAAAUAUUCACAAAAGUCGCAAAAACGGACACCGCGAGCCGUUUAAACGCAAAACUUUAAAUGUGAUUUUCCGGAGUUCCGUAACUCCAAAAAUUAAUCCGUUUAAUGUUCUGGAAUCCUUGAAUUAAACUCUAUCUAACGGUACAUUCGGAAAAUUUUCUCGAUAGCCGAGUCCCGAUAAACCAAAAGAUAGUCAACUUUUGGACAUUUAAUAAAUGGGAGACCAUAUGUGAGACCCACAUGGCUUAGAAGCCAGCCAAUACUCCUUUUAGCAUCUGGACCGUCGCUUGCUGAUCACGCCUCGCUUCGGAUGGAUGACACGUAGCCCUCGCAUACGCCCCGCGUCCGAAGACAUUACGCCCCACGUUCCGACCCUUAUGCGGUUCCCAGAAGAGCCACGAUGACCCAGCAGCGAAGCAACGCGUGUCAACCUUAUCCGAACUUACGUCUAGCGUAAGACUUCGGUACGCCCAACGUAAGUCCAAAGCCUCGCCUAUAAAAGGAGGCCGAGGGCAGCCACUUCUCUCACACCAAAUCCUUCUACUUUCUCUCACUACCCCCCUAACCCCCUCUUAAGCCUAAGUAAACCCCCUAGCACCCGAGGGAAGCCCCGAGGCUCCCGGAGUCCCGAGAAAAAAAGGGUCUUUCGGUUUCGGAAACGCUGCUCUGAGCAAAACCCGGUUUUCUUUAAAAUCCGUUGUAAGUAAGUUAUAUUGAGUGUUAUUUAACGCUUAUAUAAUAAUAAUAAUAAUAAUAAUAAUAAUAAUAAUCAUAAUAAUAGCUAGACUAUUAAUUUGUAGCGGUUAUCAUUAGACUAAACCCUAGUGGUAUUGAUACUAGGUUUUAUCAAAGGAAAAUUGUUUUGAGAGUAUCGAAACGCUGUCUGAGUGCUGAGUCACCACCUUUCAAGUGAGUGCAUGGUCCCUGUCAUCUUACACAUAGAUAUGAAGUAUUUUACAUAAAUUACGUGUUAUGUGUGCAUAUUAAAAUGAAUAAAAAUACAUUUCUUCAAAAAUGUUUUGAUAACGUAUUUAUCAUGUUUUACUAGGAACAAAUUCCGCAACAUUUUUAUUAAAAGAAGUACUUUGAUUUUUAUAAAGCAUAAAUAAAAUCAAUCUUUUCUGGCCGUGAAAAAUAGGGAUGUCACAAAACACUUUUUUCCUUUGAACAAAACCCAUUCUAUUUUCAACAAAGCAACUCGUGACUGAAGCUAAAAACAAUACACCGUUUAGCUACCAUUUUAUAAUGUAACACCCCAGAAUAAAAAGUAAAUCAUUUUUAUAACCAUGAGGACUCCUUUUCUUUCAAACAAAACCAAACAAAGUUUCUUUUUUUUUAAAAAAAUUGAUGACCGAAUAAGAGUAUAUGUAUGAUAAACAAAACACAUAAUACAUAUUUUGUAGGAAAAACAAAGAAACAACAAAUAUCUUUUCUAAUGAUACUACAGGCACGAUACUUGCUUAAAAGAAAUCUAAGUGAACCAUUUAUGGUGGUGCUCAAAGUUUCCUUGUGAGAUCCUUCUCUUUUUUCUCCUCCAAAAUUCAGAAAAACAAAAUUUUACAUACACCCAAAAUGAGCCUUAAAUCGAAGUAAAAAAAAAAAGCAUAUAAAACUCUAAACCAAUGUACACACAAAAGUAGAGCAUUUAAAUUGUUUAUAUAUUCAAAAUUAAAAAAUAACUUUUGUAUGCUGAAUUAAAGAUGUCCAAAUAAACACAUACAUAUAUAGUUUCAUCUGUUUUCACAAUCAAAACAACUCGAACAAAAUUUAAAGUUUUAGAAACAGAAAAAAGGCAAAUAUUGAUAUAGAUAAGAAGAAAGAACCUUGUAUAGAUGUCAGGUUUAAGUGCUUAACUCAUGUGUAUAUUCUUGGUCACCAUUCUCAUUUGCAAUAUCCUACAUCGCUGGGAUCAAUUGAAGGUAAUUAAGAGAAAUCGAGAGGAAAAACCUAAAGCCGAUAGAGAUUUCUGGCCCACCUACGGUUCCAGUGAACUUUGUCUUCGUCAAUCAUUGGUGGUGGCGUCGUGGAGAGAUGGACUGAUAAAGGGGUUUUUAGUGGAGCUUUACCGGAAUGGUGGCAGUGAGGUGCACCAGUGGUGGAUGAUGAAGCUGGAAGGUGGAGGGGCGACGUCUACGAUGGGGAAGAGAAGCUGGAAGGAUGAUGAGAAACCGAUGGAUAAUGUUAAAGUGAAUGGGACGAAACCCAAGCCAGAUUUUGGGGGUGGAGGGAUUAAUCAAAAAAAUCAAAUUAGAGAAAGCGGGAUCAAAU